rnacentral:rRNA from 1 species
UACGUAGGGGGCAAGCGUUGUCCGGAAUCAUUGGGCGUAGAGAGCGCGUAGGCGGCCCUGUAAGUCCGCUGUGAAAGUCAAGGGCUCAACCCUUGGAUGCCGGUGGAUACUGCAGGGCUAGAGUCCGGAAGAGGCGAGUGGAAUUCCUGGUGUAGCGGUGAAAUGCGCAGAUAUCAGGAGGAACACCGAUGGCGAAGGCAGCUCGCUGGGACGGUACUGACGCUGAGGCGCGAAAGCGUGGGGAGCAAACAGG